rnacentral:lncRNA from 1 species
ACCCUCUUUUCUCUUUUUUUCUUCGAUAUUCAAUGGAGCUCUCAAAUUUGAAUGAUUUCUUCUUUCAAUCCACUUUUCUUCUUUUUCCUUUGAUUUUCUAUCUUUAAAUAGGUUUGACAGAGGUUGGCCAUUGGAUGGGCUGAAGUAACCAUUUUGAGACAAUGGAGAUAAAAAGCUGCAAAAUAGAAAACUAACCAUUAUAGGUCAC